rnacentral:pre_miRNA from 1 species
GACACCCCUAUGGAGCAGGACUUACUUUAGUGGGGCUUUGGUGCUCACUGAGUCUGCCCCUUGAGUGUGUUGCU